GCAAGCGAGCAGCGGUGAGCGCCGGCGGCGGCAGCGCCGCGCGGAGCGCAGCCGCUUCCCGGCUUUUCACAGCGGGUUCAAGUUUUUUGACCAAGACUGUACGUCUCCCUUCUAUCGUUUCUUGAUCUGGUUCGCGGAUCGCACAUGUGUCGAUUCGCCUUUAUGACCAGCGCUGCAGUGCCAUAAAGAUAUGUAAGUAUGGAAUGUGCUGUCGAAAAAAGGGCGCAAGAGCGACAUGCCAUCCACAUGCCCGGUACGGCAAAAACUGCACGGACCAUCCAGUAAAGGGAAUCUAUAAGGGUCAUUGCAAUUGUGCCUACGGCCAAGAAAACAUUCAGGUCAUAGGACUUCUGGAAGCUAGAAGAUAUGGAAUGAAAACAAGGUCUGAAAGAGCAUCUGAAAGAAAGUUGGAGCAAUGCUGCAUGCAGGAAAAGCUACGAGGCGAGAAAUGCGAAUUCACAAGACAAUGCAAAGAUGGCCUGUGCUGCCUAAAAAAGGGCAGCUACGGACCAACGUGCCAACCAAUUGCACAAUUACGCGAAAAGUGCACCACGAGAGCUGUGGACGGAGUCUACAAAAUACGUUGCCCCUGUGCUGAUCACGCGUUACAGAACAACAGAACCUGGAAACUACCAGGUGGCCGCAGCCCCACCGAAUGGUUACAGUAGUCGGCGAUCACCUUCAAAAAAAUGCCAGGAAAAUGCAAGAACGCCUUUGCCCGUAAACGCCAACUGACCCGCUGCCACGUCAGAAUUCACAUUUGUGUAUCAGCGAGAAAAGUACUGAACUCGACCAUUGGAGCGUCCAAGAGCUGAAAUAAAAAGUGGACAUUUUUCUCUUAA